UAAAGCAUCCUGAGACCCUUCAUGUGUGGGGCUGCUUCUUAUCAAAGGGAGUGGGGCUCACUCACAAUGUACCCCAGAACAUGGCCAAGAAUAAAGAAUGGAACCAAAAACAUCCUCCGACAGCAACUUCUCCAAACCAUCCAAGAAAAGUGAGAACUAAGAGAACUAAGUCGAGGAACAAAACAUUGAAAUGGCCAGGAAGCUCCCGGACCUUAAUCCAAUGGAGAAUUUGUGGUCAAUCCUCAAGAGCAGUCAGUCAAGAUUUGGUCCAGAUGUUGAUUGACAGCAUGUCAGGUUUUCACUGUGCUGUAAAGAGACAAAGACUGGAUGGGUUCUCAAGAACUUUGAAUAAAGCAAAAAUAAACUAAGCAUCAGUCGAGACUCACUUCUGGAUCCAAGGGUUGCUACAGGUAGUAUGAAUACAACAGAAUGCCACAAGGACUCUGUACAGUCAUUCAUGCACAUGAUGUUGAAUUUCUAAUCAAGUCUCACAUUACAAUUCUGGCAGUGGAUCCAGAUUUGUAAUCUAUCAGGUGAGGCUGCUAUGAAGGAAGAUGUCUGCACUCCUUCUGUGCAGAACUACUCACCUGAUCCAACAUCUUCAACAGAUUCUACCAGUUGGUCAAGAUGUCUUGCCCUCAAUCACCUUGUGUGACCUCGAGGAUCUUCAAGAUACAGUGAUCAAACUGUAAUAAGACACCCCACCAGACAAGAAAGAUGGUAUGGAUUUGAGGAUGCUGACCGUGCUGAAACACUGGGAUGGACUUGGAGUCCAAGGUGGAAUCUUGAGGUUCCAGCUAGUCCUGCCCAGGAGUUUUGUGCUGCAAGUUCACUAAGGUCAAACUAGAACUCUGCACCUAACAAAAUAUAGAUUUUUUUCCAGCUCAACAUGGAGAGGGGCUAUGUAAAGGAAUAUGUGCGUUGCUG
ensembl:lncRNA